rnacentral:rRNA from 1 species
UACAGAGGGGGCAAGCGUUGUUCGGAAUUACUGGGCGUAAAGGGCGCGUAGGUGGCCUUCUAAGUUGAACGUGAAAUCCCUGGGCUCAACCCAGGAACUGCGUCCAAGACUGGGAGGCUUGAAUCCGGGAGAGGGAUGCGGAAUUCCAGGUGUAGCGGUGAAAUGCGUAGAUAUCGGGAGGAACACCAGUGGCGAAGGCGACUACCUGGCCUGUUCUUGACGCUGAGGCGCGAAAGCUAGGGGAGCAAACGGG